rnacentral:tRNA from 1 species
UGGCACAGUGGUUAAAGCGCUCGGCUGCCAACCCAAAGGUUGGUGGUUCAAAUCCACC